rnacentral:rRNA from 1 species
UGAGGAAUAUUGGUCAAUGGGCGGAAGCCUGAACCAGCCAUGCCGCGUGCGGGAAGGAGGCCCUAUGGGCUGUGAACCGCUUUUGCCUGGGGGCAAUAAGGGCGUCGCGCACGUCCGAUGAGAGUACCAGGCGAAUAAGCAUCGGCUAACUCCGUGCCAGCAGCCGCGGUAAUACGGGGGAUGCGAGCGUUAUCCGGAUUCAUUGGGUUUAAAGGGUGCGUAGGCGGCUUUGCAAGUCAGCGGUGAAAGGCCCGGGCUCAACCCGGAAAGUGCCGUUGAUACUGUGAGGCUGGAAUGCGGAUGCUGUGGGAGGAAUGAGUGGUGUAGCGGUGAAAUGCAUAGAUAUCACUCAGAACACCGAUUGCGAAGGCAUCUCACAAAUCCGCAAUUGAC